rnacentral:rRNA from 1 species
CAGUAGCCGCGGUAAUACAGAGGGUGCGAGCGUUAAUCGGAUUUACUGGGCGUAAAGCGUGCGUAGGCGGCUUCUUAAGUCGGAUGUGAAAUCCCUGAGCUUAACUUAGGAAUUGCAUUCGAUACUGGUUAGCUAGAGUGUGGGAGAGGAUGGUAGAAUUCCAGGUGUAGCGGUGAAAUGCGUAGAGAUCUGGAGGAAUACCGAUGGCGAAGGCAGCCAUCUGGCCUAACACUGACGCUGAGGUACGAAAGCAUGGGGAGCAAACAGGAUUAGAUACCCGGGUAGUCCCUGUCUCUUAUAC